rnacentral:ncRNA from 1 species
ACGAAGGACUAAACAUAUAGCAGGAGUGACCUAGAAAAGGCUGGAGUUAAACUGUUGGGACCCGAAAGAUUGUGACUAUGCUUGUGGUGUUUGAAGCCGAAGGAAACUUUGGUGGAAGGACUUAGGAGUGUUAACGUGCAAAUUACUUGCAAUAUAUGAGUAUAGGGGCGAAAGACUAAUCGAACUAUCUAGUAGCUGGUUCCACCUGAAUAUUCCCUUAGGAAGGUUGAAGUGAGAAAGUAGUGACGAUUGGUAAAGAUAAUGAUUGGAUGUAAUGGAGAGCUUGACUUUUCAACAUUUUAACAAACUAUGAAUAGUCGAGAUAUCCUAAACGAUAAACAUUUAUUAGGAGUGAGCAUAUGCGGACUUCAAAUCGGCCAAGUCUGGUAAGCAGGAUUGGCGAUGCGGGAUGAACCGAACAUACAGAUAAAGUAUCCAAGUCUUGCAUGAGGAGAACCAUAAAAGGUGUUAAUUCAUAUUGACAAUAGGACGAUGGCCAUGGAAGUUGGAAAUCGCUAAGGAGUGUGUAACAACUCACAGAUCGAAUGGAUAAGCCUUGAAAAAGGAAGGUAAUAAAAUGAAAGAGAGUGAUGCUGUAUCCUUGUGGAGGCUGAGGCACACGAGGAGUAAGGAAAUACAUGGUGUCAAGAACACAGGAGUGAUAAAGGUAGAGAAGUAAUUUCUAUUGAAACAGACUUGAGUACAGAUCUUGGUGGAAGUAGCAAAUAAUUAGAAGAGGAACAAAAUAUCUAAGGACUGAAGAGGAAAAAGGUUCCUAGACAACAUUAAUUGGAAUAGGGUAAAUCGAUCCUAAAAGACGGAUGUAGAUUUAGUAUGAAUCAAACAAAACAAGGCUAGGCUGGCAAAACAAAUUUUCCAAAGACUUUGUUAAACUGUGUACCAAAUAGUUAAAUCAAUUUGAAUGUAUUUGUUUAUUUUCUAAUUGUUUAUAAUUAUAAUAAUAUAAUUUUUUAAUACAACUAAUUUAGUA